UGGGGAAUUUUGGACAAUGGGCGAAAGCCUGAUCCAGCAAUGCCGCGUGUGUGAAGAAGGCCUUCGGGUUGUAAAGCACUUUUGUCCGGAAAGAAAUCCUUGGCUCUAAUACAGUCGGGGGAUGACGGUACCGGAAGAAUAAGCACCGGCUAACUACGUGCCAGCAGCCGCGGUAAUACGUAGGGUGCAAGCGUUAAUCGGAAUUACUGGGCGUAAAGCGUGCGCAGGCGGUUUGCUAAGACCGAUGUGAAGUCCCCGGGCUCAACCUGGGAACUGCAUUGGUGACUGGCAGGCUAGAGUAUGGCAGAGGGGGGUAGAAUUCCACGUGUAGCAGUGAAAUGCGUAGAGAUGUGGAGGAAUACCGAUGGCGAAGGCAGCCCCCUGGGCCAAUACUGACACUCAUGCACGAAAAGCGUGGGGAGCAAAACAGGAUUAGAUACCCUGGUAGUCCACGCCCUAAACGAUGUCAACUAGUUGUUGGGGAUUCAUUUCCUUAGUAAACGUAGCUAACGCGUGAAGUUGACCGCCUGGGGAGUACGGUCGCAAGAUUAAAACUCAAAUGAAUUGACGGGGUCAUAGCUGUUUCCU
rnacentral:rRNA from 1 species